CACAGAUGUUUCGUCGACCGAAGUUGAUGGUAGUUUCUUCUCAGUUGGCCGCUGCAGACAUCAUCAAAAUAAACAUGUAGUAAAGAGAAUAUGAGAUACUUGACGCCGAUCGAGUUGCUUUUCAGGAAACAUGCAUCCUUUGAGUUGCAAGUUACGGAAGCUGUGGUUAUGAUGCUGCGAUCUUACUGACUACAGUAAAGCGAGUUCACAUUGUGCAGAGAGGUGCUUUGCAACCUCUGAUUGCGACACUUCAAUCUCCAAAUCUACAACUGAAGUAAAUGUCAACUCUUGCUCUAGGAAGAUUGACUCAGGUUAUUACUUCUAUGAUAACCUCUUUUCUCGUUUGGUUUGCAGCAUCUUAAGAGUGAAAUUGAUGUCCAAUUUGGUAGUCUCAAAGUAUGUUGUAUUUGUGUAAUACUCCUUUGUUUCUGUGUUCACUGUUCAACUACAACUCUUCUAUUGUUAGACACUGGACACCCAUAACCAAGCUGGUAUUGUUCAUAAUGGUACCUUCUUUUUUCCUUUGCUUAAACUUCUUUAUUCAAAAAAUGGGUUUUUUGCAACACAAUGUUGCAUUCGUUCUUUAUGGUUUAGCUGGCAAUGAGGUAUGGUCAACACUCAUGGAGCUCCAAUAAAUUCACUGUUUGGUUUAUUAUGUUUGAAUUUUUUCUAUCCCGACGAUCUAUGCUAUGGAGCCCCGGAACUUACUUUUGGGGCUAUAAACAAUGGUAUCGGCAUUGACCUAUGGAGUACUACUGGUUACAUUCUAGGUGAAUCACUGACUGGAGCCAAUCAUGCCCAGGCGUACACAAGUAAUUUUUGUUGUUGCUGUUUUUCAUCCCUGCCUAUCUCAAUUCCUCCUUAGUUUUGCUUUAGUUAUUCAUUGCUUGAAUCCAAGAUAUUAAAAACUCUUAUCAUAAAAUCGACAUUUCUUCUCAGCCUUUGGUGAAUAAUAACUGAUACGGAGUAUGCUUUUUCCUUCACCCUGGUCAUUUAGGUGGAGCAACUGCACGAGAUUUGCGAGCUCUGUGGUUCCCGGCCGGAGACGUACUGGAGAACUUCAGCUUUAUGCACAAGCUUAUAUAUGCCUCAAUCCCGUAUAAACGAUGCAUAGUCAAGACUUUCUAAACUUGCUCACCAGCAUCACUGCAAUUGAUCUAAUAAGUUAAAAUUGUGAUUAAUGUUUUCUUCUCAACAGAUCUUAUAUUUUAUUCUGGUUAUCAAAUAGUGGUAUCAGGUCAUAACUCAUGAGAAAAAGUUACUCCACUUCUGUGCAUUCCUUGCCUUGCCUAAAUUAAAACCAUAGUUGAUUUGAGUGCAGGUGAAGCCGUGAAGGAGGUAGCCACGAGUCAAACCAAAAAGAGGUUGUUGAUCCACAUUCAAGUGGGAUGAUUAGAGGAUCAGUUAGUGACCAAAGGACACCACAGUGAUAUAUCGUUCAAAUCUGAACAUACAUAAGCUUCUUUGAAAGUAGAGGGGAAUCAAUAAAAUGAUUUGCAUUUCAUGAAUACUUCUGCACCAUGGUUGAUCUGAAUUAUUAACUUUUUUAGUGUUUAUAUGUACUGAAUUGUUUGUAAUGAAAACCCUUAUAAUUUUACCAUGCAGUCAUCCUUCGCAUGUUUUAGGAUGAAGCUUUAACUGGAAUAAGAUCUGACUUGGUGCUAGUGAUGAAUUAGACCUCUCUGACAAAGUUCUGUAGCAGCACAACAGGUAGCGCGUCUGACUCGUUUCAGAAGGUUGUGUGUUCAAAUCACACCGGGUUCAAUAAUCCAUUGGUCAACAUGUUAAAAACCAGUUAAUCCAUGUUCCAUACAAAGAUCUUAAUUGUAACAUAAGUUCAAAUGGUAUUGACUCUUUAAGAUUGCAUAUCAAUCAAGGAAUUACAAAAUUGGAACUCUAAUGUCAAGUCACAUGGCAGAAGACAACAGGUGUCACUGCUUUCAGUGCAGGGUUCAGUAAUCUUGCAAAUCGUGUAUCUUCACUGGUGAUGACAACAUAUUCCAUAUCUUUAAUUGCUUCAGCCAACCCUUCUCUUGUCGAAGAACUGCAACUGCUUCAGAACCUGCUAGUUCACAUGGGCACCAUUAUAACCAUAAAGCUUUUAAUUAAAAGUUUCGAGUGUAAUGAAACAUGGGAUAAGCAAGAAAUCCAAAGACGACUUACCUCUGAGUAAUCAGAGAAUGGCAGCAAUCCCUGGCUCCGAAGAAGAUUCUCCACCUCUUUCUGCAUAUCAGCAAGGUGAAGCAGUUUCCAUUGUGGAUACUGACCCUGGUACGAAAAGAUUGUUACCAUACGCAUCGACCGAAAGUACAAAAUUACAAAAGAAAGGCGAGGAUUUACUAAAUGUUAAAAAUGGACACUACCUUAGAUAUCUUGUCAAGGUCCUUGGUAAUUAAACUCAGUUUCCUAUGCAGAGCAGCACUGAGCAACUCUGGAGUAUCAAGAUCUUGAAAAUUCUCUUGAACAGCUCGUCUAGCUGCUGAAGCCUCAGGAUGGUCUUCUAGAUAUUGUGAGACAACUGUCUCGCAUUUUGACAAAGUCUGAGACAAAAGAAAACUCUGUUCAGAAACUGUGAUUUUAGAUAUGCCUUUUGGUCUCAGCUGAGCAAAAUGUAGUAUGUUAAACAGACCAUUACCUGGUACAAGAAAUGUAGGUUUUCAGCAGCAUACUUCAGGUCCUGGCUGCUAUAUCUAGCAGGUGCUUUUUGGGAAGUACAUUUUCUGAGGAAGUUCAAUACGAGGGAGUCAUACUGUGUAUCCUACAAGAAGAGCAAAAGGAAUGUUUCACAGGUCAGAUUUUCAUCUGGAAUCUCAUUCUCACUCAUCAUAAGUUGCUUCAUUCAAACUAUAAUUGUGGGAUUGGGUAUCACAGGCCGUAUACCAUAUGUCAACAUCUGAGAAUGACAUGCCAUCUGGCUUCAAUACAGUGAAAACAAUGUUGCAACUAAAGAGCUGAGAAAAGCUUUUGAAUGGGACACAUAGGAUUCUUCAAUGCAGCAUGAUGUCAAAAUAUCGAAACAAGGGAGGAGUGAUCAGUGGAGUCAGAAAUGUUGAUAGUUUACCUGAGAUGCUGAGGGCUUUGUCUUUACAGUGUACUGGAGCUUCUUAGUUUUUCUGAGCUGCUUACUUGUCCUUUGUCCGACUGCUUUUAGAGAGACAAGGCUGUCUGCAUGUCGAACUGGCUGCAACAUGUGAAGACUCUCAUCUGGACUUUGUACCAAACUUAUACCAUUAGGAUGGCACCUACAAGUGAAGUAGCGCUGCAUCCAAACGAACAUUUGGGAUGUCGUAGGAACUGUCAGUGGAACACCAAAUUCCGGUAUACUUAGGCUGUGUGGUUGUGUCCACUUAUCACUCUGCAGGAUCCAGAUAUCGACCUUGCUUCGCCCUGUCAAGUCUCCUUGAACCCAAUGGCACAAACAUAGUGUAUCGUCUUCAAAUGAAGUAAUCCUGUCCCAAAAAACUAAGUGGUGUCUACCCUCUCCAAUGGGUGGAUACGUAACAAGUGUGAAGGUUUCAUCCCUUAGAUUGAAGGCUACGAUCCUCCGUUCGGGCUCACGGAGGUUAGGAACAAUAUUCUCAACUAACCAAUAGGUAGAUUUGCUUCUCUUUCUUCCUACGAACAGAAUUUUUCUGUUAUUACCAACGGAAUGCAAAUGGCUUCUCCAGCGUUUACUCCAUGUACAGGGUUUGGAUCAGUAUUAGUAAACAUGGUUUGAGAGAUGUCUUUUCUCUCAUUCCAACGGUGAGUGGCAUUUCCCAAAAGUAGGGAUGGCCAUUUGCCUCACCCAAACCCAUCCCCGUGGGUACCCCUAUUGGGUAGGGUUUUACCCGUACAAACGGGGUUGGGGUUGGGUAUGGGUAAUACCCGAAA